AGAGUUUGAUCCUGGCUCAGGAUGAACGCUAGCGGCAGGCUUAAUACAUGCAAGUCGUGGGGCAGCACAGGUAGCAAUACUGGGUGGCGACCGGCAAACGGGUGCGGAACACGUACGCAACCUUCCUUUAAGCGGGGAACAGCCCAGGGAAACUUGGAUUAAUACCCCAUAAUACAAUUGGGUGGCAUCACUUGAUUGUUAAAGCUUCGGCACUUAAAGAUGGGCGUGCGGCUGAUUAGGUAGUUGGCGGGGUAACGGCCCACCAAGCCGACGAUCAGUAACUGGUGUGAGAGCACGACCAGUCACACGGGCACUGAGACACGGGCCCGACUCCUACGGGAGGCAGCAGUAAGGAAUAUUGGUCAAUGGACGCAAGUCUGAACCAGCCAUGCCGCGUGGAGGAUGAAGGCCCUCUGGGUUGUAAACUUCUUUUAUUGGGGAGGAAACCCAUCUUUUCUAAGGUGGUUGACGGUACCCUUUGAAUAAGCACCGGCUAACUCCGUGCCAGCAGCCGCGGUAAUACGGAGGGUGCAAGCGUUAUCCGGAUUCACUGGGUUUAAAGGGUGCGUAGGUGGGCAGGUAAGUCAGUGGUGAAAUCUCUAAGCUUAACUUAGAAACUGCCGUUGAUACUGUCUGUCUUGAAUGUAGUGGAGGUGAGCGGAAUAUGUCAUGUAGCGGUGAAAUGCUUAGAUAUGACAUAGAACACCCAUUGCGAAGGCAGCUCGCUACACUAUGAUUGACGCUGAGGCACGAAAGCGUGGGGAUCAAACAGGAUUAGAUACCCUGGUAGUCCACGCCCUAAACGAUGGAUACUCG
rnacentral:rRNA from 1 species